UUAUACUAGACUUGUCUAAUCAAUUAAGGCCUGAAAGAAGAGAGCUGUUGUGACUGGUUCCUCACUGGAUGAUACUGAUCAACAAAACAAAACUGUUAUUAAGUAGUCCUAUUUUAUUAAGUACAGUGAUAGAUUAAAAACAAAAGAACAAAAAAACUUUAAUUUGUUCCUCUUUAACCUGCAAACCAAGUACUGUUUCAGUCUGCCUCAGUUGGAUUGGUUGAGCCUGUUGAUUUGACCAAAAUUAACUACACCACCACCGCAGACCAACAUAACUUUUUUACUGCACCAUCAUGAGAACAUUUAGACUCUGCAUAGGCUAACAUAAAAGAGGACGCAAUUUCUAAAACCUGAUAAGAUGUCAUCAAUGUGUAACUCUAUGACCACAUGUGUGUGGAUGCUUCUUUCUUUCUUUUUUGUGUUCAUACCUGGACAUGCAUUACUUAACUGCACCUCAGUUCAGACGGUUCAUCGAGGAACGUCAGUCAAUAUCAGCUGUAACUACAAACCAUCAACUGACAUUAAUGGUCUCACAGUGGAACUGCAAACUGAUAAUAAACUGUGCUCAGUAUCAAAAUUGAACAAUUCAUGGAUAAAUCAUCCAUGUAGAAAUCACUGUAGAUUCAUUUGGAUUCCAGAAACUGUGCAAAUGUCUUUUGAGAUAUCAAAUCUGCAGAUAAAAGAUACUGGCAUGUACAAAUGUGUUGUGACAAGAACUAUACCACCUCCUUCUGUGCUUUUGAGAGAAGAAAGAACAUUUGUUCAAGUGUUUGGUAAGAAUUCACUAUGACAA